ensembl:lncRNA
CUGCUCAAGCACUGAGCUGUCAUCCUUAUAAUUUUCCCAGGGAGAUAAAUAUGCUUUUUCCAACAUCUCAGGAGUUAUUAUUGCAUCUGAUUUACAGACAGCGUAAAGCUUCACAGUUCUCCUGCUGAAUACUAUAAAACUGCACAGUUUUCAUCCCUUCCAUUUGGAAAAGGGACCAAGAUGCACUGGAUGGGAAUUGGAUUACAGACCGGAUGGCUGAUGGAUUUUAGAUGUGAUCCCCAACUGAGACAUGAGCUUUAAGAGAGUGUCUGGGUCUGCUCAGUAGAGACAUAGGAGAUUACUGUUGCCCUGAAGAAAGCAUGAACCCAGCAAGCAAGCCAGCAUGACAUUCUGGUAAAUGAACACUCGUAUUUGGAUUGAACCCACCACAUGCAUUAUUUAACAAAGCCAGCAGGUAAGUAAUUAACUUCGGUUACUACUAAACCAAGACCAAUGAGAAGAGAUAACUUAGACUGGAAGAUUACAUAGCUUUUCAAUAGUCCCUUGGGACCAUCUAGUACUACUGUCUAACUCACCAGAACAUAUAAAGUAUUUUAGUAGAACAUCACUGUGUGUUGAAGAAUGGGUGCAAUUAAACAGCGGCAGUAACAUACUAGAAGGGAAGAAAGCUUUGUGGAAAUACCUUCAAGCAGCCAGCAGAUGCUUAGAGUUAUGGCUUAUCAAUGGUACAGAUUUUGCUCCGUACUCUGCUGGUGGUGAUCCAGGAGGCCAAUGUAGCAAUUCGCAAAGAUACAUAGAGAACUUAAAGCAAUUUUUUAAAGUUUAUUAAAGAUGUGAUGGUUCAGGUUGAAUUUUGAAGAUUGAUAUUCACCCCUUGGGCCAAAAAGUCUGUGUUCAAAAUAUGACUGUAUGCUGUGACCAAAGCUGUUAGAUUCCUUAACUUCACACCCAUUCAAGUUACUUCGCUGUGGGUAUCUGCAGUGCCCACUGAAGUGAGAUGUUAUAAUUCAGCAAUGAGAAACUGUGCUGCAAUCUGUCAUUUUGGAGUUUCCUGUGUUGCUCGUGUAUCUGUUGUCACAUUUUGCAACCAUCUUUGUGACUGGUUCUACUUUAGCCUGUCCUUUUUGUGCCAGCCACUCGCACUCCAUGAAUAAUGCAUCUCUGGAGCACACACGAUUUCCUUUCCCUUCUUUCAUUUUCUAUCAGCAGUGAAAUAGUUCAAAAUGUUAGCAGUACAAUAAUGUAUUGAUGUAAAUACAUCAACAGUCUAGAAAUGUCUCUUCAAAGAAAAGGGUGCAAUUUUUGUUUUGUAAGGCAGUUUCUAAGUUUGCUCUUAGUAGAUAUAGGUAUUUUUCCCUCAUUUAGGGGGUCAUGGCCAAGAUGACAGAAAUGACAACUCCAAAGCAAUAAGUCCACUCCACAAUUCCUUUUCUGAUUUAAACCCAGUCCCCAAGAAGUCUCCAGAUUCUAAAAUUAAUCUUGAUCUUCAUUUUUUUUUCCUCCUGAAAGGGUAACUAUAAUUCCUCAUAAACCUAUAGCUCUCCAAAAGGAAGCACAAUGCCAACCUCAGGCAGCAAUGAUUAUUCUUUACCUAAAUAUAUAUGCCUGAAACCAGCAAUAGAAAUAUGACAAAUGAGUAUCAGAUGAAAUCAUAAUCCCCAGCCUCCCCUGGGAUACACCAACUUUCCUAAUGAGAGAAACAAUAAAAAUGCUGGUCCUAAGUGGUUUGAAGAUAAAUGACUUUCUACUGUUGAUAUUUUGAUCUAUAGGACAAAUAUGGUGUGUCUACUGAAAGCAUUUAUAUAAAAAGAGCUGAAACCCAUAGGCUGUGGUCCUUGCAGAUAAAUCCACUUGAUUUUACUAGUAGAGAGAAGCAGAAAUAUGUUUUUAAAUCACUACUUUCCUACUUUCUCUGAGGCUCAAAAAAGACCUUGUUGGUUUUUUUUUCUGCUAUUUUCAUCAAAUAAAGGACCACCUAAUUGGUGGAACAAUACCU